AUCAUGGCUCAGGAUGAACGCUAGCUACAGGCUUAACACAUGCAAGUCGAGGGCAGCGCAGUGUAGCAAUACAUGGGCGGCGACCGGCGCACGGGUGCGUAACGCGUAUCCAACCUUCCGUUACUCAGGGGUAGCCUUCCGAAAGGGAGAUUAAUACCUGAUGGUGUUUGAAUUCCGCAUGUUAUUCAAACUAAAGAUUUAUCGGUAACGGAUGGGGAUGCGUGACAUUAGAUAGUAGGCGGGGUAACGGCCCACCUAGUCUACGAUGUCUAGGGGUUCUGAGAGGAAGGUCCCCCACACUGGAACUGAGACACGGUCCAGACUCCUACGGGAGGCAGCAGUGAGGAAUAUUGGUCAAUGGUCGGAAGACUGAACCAGCCAAGUAGCGUGAAGGAUGAAGGUUCUAUGGAUUGUAAACUUCUUUUAUACGGGAAUAAAACCUCCCACGUGUGGGAGCUUGUAUGUACCGUAUGAAUAAGCAUCGGCUAACUCCGUG
rnacentral:rRNA from 1 species